ensembl:lncRNA
GCAAAGAAAAACAACUGUCCUAAACAUUAGGCAGAGCCAUAGAGACAAACACAGAGAAAAACGGCAAGCAUGUUGUGUCCGAACAGAAUGGGUCUUUAUUUAUUCAGGAAAUGAAAGAAAACAGAUUGUAAUCAACACACCAUUUAAAUACAAAACAAACAAACAUUUUAAUCAACAUUAUAUCUAUUUUGCAUAUCAAAGAACCAUUGAGUAAUAAUUACAAUCGGUACACCUCAAACCACUUUUGUGAAUCCAUACACCAACUCAAAUUUAGAAAUGAGUUACUUUAACAAUAUUACAAAGAUUUAGCUUAAAAAAUUAUUCAAAUUAAAAUAAUAUCUAUGCAAUUAGCCUCUUAAAAUUGUAUAUAUUGCCACAUAAAAAUACAAAAUAAUAUCAAUGACAUACAAUAUGAAAAAUGUUUCAAAGUAUUCUACUAUUAAAUGAAAUGUAAAAAAUGAAAAUGAAAUGAAAUAGAAAUAUGCAUGAAAAAGUAUCUCUUUUUGUUAGCAAAACACUAUUGAAAAUAAUUACAAUCAUUUACAUCAGUACAAAGAUAUCUGGAUUUAAAAAUAGUUGCAAUGAAAAGGGGUUUCUUUUCUGACAGUAAAAAAUGACACUGUGGAUCAGAAAUAUGCAAAAUAUGCAAUGAAAAAAAUAAAUCUGCAUUAAAAAGGUUUACACUGUAAUUCUUACUUUUUAUACAAACAUUAGAAACAGUAUUGCACGUCACAACACAGAAUCGAGGUUAGUCAGCCUUUCAAAAUGUGUUAUAUUCAAGUUUCAGAGCAUCUAUGAGGAGAGGCACCGCGGGCCUCGAUGCAACAGGGGGAGAAUCUCAAGUGUCUUCCAUGAAUAUAAUAGAACCCUCAAUGUUUCUUUCCUUCAAUUAAAAGGUGUUAAGCUGAAAUUAUAUAUCAACCAUUUAGACAUAUUAAAACAGUUAUAUAGUAAUACAUCAAUAUAUACAUAAUGACAUGAUUUUUGAAAUAGUUUUUCUUUUUGUCUUUCAACAGAGCCCGGCUUAAUAACAUAAUUAGAAUAUUAGGACAACUAAAAUAUGUAUCAUAAUAAUAAUAACAAACCUAUUGAAAUAAAAAAUACAAUCAAAAUCAAAUAGUUAUUUGUCUACUAAAAAGUGAAAUAAAUAUGAUUCUUAAAAAUACAAAGACACACACAUUCAGUGCCUUCGGAAAGUAUUCAGACCCCUUGGCUUUUUCCACAUUUUGUUAUGUUACAACCUUACUCUAACAUUUAUUACAUUGUUUUUCCCCCCUCAUCAAUCUACACACAAUGCCCAAUAAUGACAAAAUAUUUGCACAUGUAUUAAGAACCUUUACUCAGUACUUGUUGAAGCACUUUUGGCAGCGUUUACAGCAUCGGAUCUUCUUGGGUAUGACACUACAAGCUUGGCACACCUGUAUUUGGGGAGUUGCUCAUAUUCUUCUCUGCAGAUCUUCUCAAGCUCUGUCAGGUUGGAUGGGGAGUGUUGCUGCAUAGCUAUUUACAGGUCUCUCCAGAGAUGUUCGGUCGGGUUCAAGUCUGGGCUCUGGCUGGGCCACUCAAGGCCAUUCAGAGACUUGUCACAAAUCCACUCCUGUGUUGUCUUGGCUGUGUGCUUAGGGUCGUUGUCCUGUUGGAAGGUGAACCUUCGCCCCAGUCGGAGGUCUUGAGCACUCUGAAGCAGGUUUUUGGCAAACUCCAAGUGGACUGUCAUGUGCCUUUUACUGAGGAGUGGCUUCCGUCUGGCCACUCUACCAUAAAGGCCCAAUUGGUGGAGUGCUGCAGAGAUGGUUGUCCUUCUGGAAAGUUCUCCAAUCUCCACAGAGGAACUCUAGAGAUCUGUCAGAGUGACCAUUGGAUUCUUGGUCACCUCCCUCCACCAAUUGCUCAGUUUGGCCGGACGGCCAGCUCUAUGAAGAGUCUUGGUGGUUCCAAACUUCUUCCAUUUAAGAACGAUGGAGGCCACUGUGUAAUUGGGGACCUUCAAUGCUGCAGAAAUGUUUUGGUACCCUUCCCCAGAUCUGUGCCUCGACACAAUCCUGUCUCGUAGCUCUGCGGAAAAUUCCUUCGACCUCUUGGCUUGGUUUUUGCUCUGACAUGCAUUGUGUGUGCCUUUCCAAUCAUGUAAAAUCAAUUGAAUUUACCGCAGGUGGACUCCAACAAUCAUGUUGUAGAAACAUCUCAAGAAUGAUCAAUGGAGACAGGAUGCACCUGAGCUCAAUUUCGAAUGUCAUAGCAAAGGGUCUGAAUACUUAUGCAAAUAAAAUGUCUAAAAACCUGUUUUGCUUUGUCAUGGGGCAUUUUUUGUAGAUUGCUGAGAAUUUGUAUUAAUUUAAUAAAUUUUAGAAUAAUGCUGUAACAUAAUAAAACGUGAAAAAAGUCAAGGGGUCUGAAUACUUUCCGAAGGCACUGUACAAAGUAACAGUGUUCAACAUAUUACUCAAAUUACUCAACAAACAGCACAAGGAGUCAAGUGUUACAGGGCAAUGGUGACAAUGUAAAAGCGAGCUCUGUUCUGUUCUGAGCAGAACACCAACCACACCACGAACGCCAUACAAGAACUCUCGAGUACAAGUAGGGUGGCUGGUGGCUAAAGGAUCCCUCAUUUGCUUUGAAGCUGUUGCUCAUCAUUUUUUGGCUACCAUUUUGUAGAGCCAGUCAUCAUAGCUCAGCACCCUGUUAAUUUACAGAGAGACGGGCAGAAACACAUUCCCUGUAACAACGGGACUCAGUUUGAAUAUAUUAGAAUGUAUUAGAUAACUACUUCCUUCACAUAGAAAAACCUAAGACCACCGCCUCCGCACACAAUUAUGAAAAAAUUGUAUUCAAUAAAUCAUCUGGUAGAAUUAUAAAUAGGUAGAAGUUUGUUAGAACAGAAUUUUUCAUGAGUAAUGAAAUGGAGAAAAAUAGGUUGUUACCCAAACCACAUCCAUAUUGUAUCAGCUAUCUAACUGCUAGGGUGAAAAAUAAGUCAAGAAUCAAAUCAUCCAAGGGAAAAGAGAGGGAAAUAUAGAAAGGGAAGUGCAUAAUAUAUUAUCAAAAGUGAUUAGAGAUGCUUGGGACAGGGAGGGGGUCACAAGUUCAAGACGUUAAACAAAUGAAUGUUCUAAUAAUACAGUAUGUGAAUAAACAAACAUAAAAUCGUAUCCCCAUAGGGUAGUAACAGCAACACUUGACACCUGACCUACGGGAUACCAAGGACUCCACACCAGGGCAUGAAAUACAGAAACACUAUGACACAGGAAUAACAGGGAUAUUACCCUGUAGAGAUACAGACAUGUACAGUACCAUACAGCUGAUAUGCUAAUGCACCAGCAGGUCAUUACUCACAGAGAGAGGGAUUGUCCCCUGAAAAGUAUUUAAGAGCGAUGUCCUCACAGGGUCACAGUUAGAGAAAACGAAGAACACAGUUAAUAUAUAUUCUGCAGACCCAAAUGUUUUAUUAUUAUCAGUGAAGGGGUGUGUCUUUGUCAUCUUUCACUAGCAGGACAUAGAACUUGGCCACUUUCUAUAGGUCUGGAGUCUCAUAACUAGUAAUUACUGUACAUAUGAGAGACAGAUUUCUUAUAGAACAGUUUCAUCCAACUGCAAAAUUCAUAGCCUGAUAACAUGACCCAGGAACAAAUAUUGGACAGAUGCUUCCUUACGAAUCCUUCUCCAUGACAACAUUUGAACAGCAGUAUGGAUUAGCCAACUAGUGUAACACAUGGCACACUACACUGCACAAACACACAUCUCCCAGUCGUAUGCCUGCAGUUAGCUGAUCCAGCCAGGCUACUGUGUGUGUUUUUGGUCUUUUAAGUGCUUUGCUACAUUAGAGUAACCAAAGGUAACUAUAAAAAGGUGGGGAGGAAAGGAGGGGUGAAGGCAAAAUAUUGUGAUGUUCUCAUUCUCGUAUAUCUACAUUGUUACUAAACUAAAACCUCUGUCCACACACUAACAAGACCCACACAGACAGCACAGAGACAACACUAGCCACUGACUAAACACCACUCAGCUUCUCAACAGCUUCUUCACUCCUCACAAACCACCACGUCACAAAAUGGUGGCAUCCACUAGUCUAGAACCAAUAUAGCAUUUUUUUUGUAUAAUAAGUAUGUCGGAUCAAACAACGUAUCAACAUCAAUGCAUGCAAGAUGUUUUAAGUAAGUAGUUUUUAAUGUAUUUUUCUUGAUCGCCAUGGUAUUUUGAACACCUAGGCUUCUAUUGUUUUUGUACAUGCUACUCACAGUAGUAUUGAGUGGUUUCUGUUAUAUGAUAUCUGUUUAUGUAUGAUAUCUGUUAUAUGAUAUCUGUUUAUGUAUGAUAUCUGCUAUAUGAUAUCUGUUAUAUGAUAUCUGUUUAUGUAUGAUAUCUGCUAUAUGAUAUCUGUUUAUGUAUGAUAUCUGUUAUAUGAUAUCUGUUUAUGUAUGAUAUCUGUUAUGAUAUCUGUUAUAUGAUAUCUGUUAGAUGAUAUCUGUUAUAUGAUAUCUGUUAUAUGAUAUCUGUUUAUGUAUGAUAUCUGUUUAUGUAUGAUAUCUGUUAUAUGAUAUCUGUUAUAUGAUAUCUGUUAGAUGAUAUCUGUUAGAUGAUAUCUGUUUAUGUAUGAUAUCUGUUAUAUGAUAUCUGUUAUAUGAUAUCUGUUAUAUGAUAUCUGUUUAUGUAUGAUAUCUGUUAUAUGAUAUCUGUUUCCUGCAUGUGUUGGUUAAGUCUAUCCUGUAUGUGUUGGUUAAGUCUAUCCUGCAUGUGUUGGUUAAGUCUAUCCUGUAUGUGUUGGUUAAGUCUAUCCUGCAUGUGUUGGUUAAGUCUAUCCUGCAUGUGUUGGUUAAG